CCUACGGGUGGCAGCAGUGAGGAAUAUUGGUCAAUGGGCGCGAGCCUGAACCAGCCAAGUCGCGUGAAGGAUGACUGCCCUACGGGUUGUAAACUUCUUUUGUAAAGGAGUAAAGUGAGGCACGUGUGCCUUUUUGUAUGUACUUUAUGAAUAAGGAUCGGCUAACUCCGUGCCAGCAGCCGCGGUAAUACGGAGGAUCCGAGCGUUAUCCGGAUUUAUUGGGGUUAAAGGGAGCGUAGAUGGGUUGUUAAGUCAGUUGUGAAAGUUUGCGGCUCAACCGUGAAAUUGCAAUUGAUACUGGCAGCCUUGAGUACAGUUGAGGUAGGCGGAAUUCGUGGUGUAGCGGUGAAAUGCUUAGAUAUCACGAAGAACUCCGAUUGCGAAGGCAGCCUACUAAACUGCCACUGACAUUGAUGCUCGAAAGUGUGGGUAGCAAACAGGAUUAGAUACCCUUGUAGUC
rnacentral:rRNA from 1 species